UACGUAGGGUGCGAGCGUUGUCCGGAAUUAUUGGGCGUAAAGAGCUCGUAGGCGGUCUGUCGCGUCGAUCGUGAAAACUUGGGGCUUAACCCUGAGCUUGCGGUCGAUACGGGCAUGACUGGAGUUCGGCAGGGGGAGACUGGAAUUCCUGGUGUAGCGGUGAAAUGCGCAGAUAUCAGGAGGAACACCGGUGGCGAAGGCGGGUCUCUGGGCCGAUACUGACGCUGAGGAGCGAAAGCGUGGGGAGCGAACAGG
rnacentral:rRNA from 1 species